CAACCCAGAUGUUCCCGCGGCCCCUCCCUCCACUCCUCGCUCCCUUGACAGGGCCCAUCUCCAGCACAUUUUCCUCACUCCAAGCUCCUUCCUUGCCAGAUUGCUCUGCCCGAGGAUUCUGCUCCAGGCUGGAAGGGGCUGGGGACCUGAUUCUCUCAUUUCCCUGUGGUUUGGCAUUCCCAAGUCUUCCCUUGCCUCUGUCGCUUUCAGAGCGAGCCCCGCCUUUGUCUGCAGACUCUGGCUCCCUGGACAGGCAAAGGGAAAUGCCUGGGUCACCCUGAUGCCUCCGAGCCUGGUGACAGGAGCUAAUGAUGGCAAAUACAGAUCGGGGGGCCACCUUGCCACUGCCCAACCCUCCAGGGAACUUGAGCGCCGUCCCAUUUCUGAAACUCCUGGCAGUUGCUCAAUAAAUGGUCUUUGGCCCGGGACACAGGCUGUCUCUCAGUGUCUGAACCAUUCCGGUGCAGAGGCUGAAGCCACAGGGUAGAUGAGAAGUGCCCCAGGAGCAAGGCACUGUCCUGCCUCCACACAGCCUCUCCCGCAUUCCGGUGCCCUUUCUGGGAUCCGAGUCAGCGUGGGCCCGAUGUCACUGAGGAAACAUCCCAGGAAUUCCUGUUCUUUCCCUCUGGAUGGCCCUCUUGUCUGCGGGAAGGGUGGGAGGAGCUAUUGUGUGUUUCUGUCUCAGCUUUAAGGGUAAAUCUCCCCUCCAGAGGCCAGGUGGCUUAUCUCCUGACAGCCACUUGUCAGACACACUGAGCCCUGAAUUCCCACUCCAGUGGUCUGGCAUGGUGCUUCAAAGAGCUGACUUGGAUAUGGCAACGUGAUGGGGGAAGGAAGGUUGAGGUGGCAUCUGGAAGCACAGCACGGAGUGGAGUUUUGACCCUCGCCUUCCCACUGUUCCCAGUAUUUGAAUGACUGUAUUAAGGGAAAUGAAUAUAUGUAUUAGGGGGUGGGGAGAAG